UAAGCGGAGGAAAGAAACAACCGUGAUUCCCCUAGUAGCGGCGAGCGAACAGGGAUUAGCCCACGCUGAAUCUCUGCAUAUUAAUAAAUGCAGCGAAUAGUAGCGUAUGGGUAGUUUGUUCUGCAUUGUACUAUGUUACCAGCUAAGUUGUCUGGAAUGACAUGCCAAGGAGGGUGACAGCCCCGUAACUGGCAUAGUACUUUGUAAGAACAUCUACUCGAGAGUAGGACUGUUUGAGAAUGCAGUCUGAAAUGGGUGGUGAACUCCAUCCAAGGCUAAAUACGGACACGAGACCGAUAGCACAAAAGUACCGUAAGGGAAAGGUGAAAAAGCACUCUGAAAAGAGAGUUAAAAGUGCUUGAAACCUACCGAGGGAAAAGGCGGAAGAUAAACCUCGAUACCAAUAAUCUUUUAUUAUAGAUCAAAUGUUGCCCCAAUUGGCCUUGGCAAUUUUGAUCGUUGUAAUCUAUGAUUAUUGCUACGUGCGAGGCUAUGUAGAUCUAUUAACACUAAAACAUGGCUGUAAAAUUGAUAACUUUACAAACCUGUUCUAGUACGAAGCUUAAUAGAACUGCAUAUGCAGUCACCAAGGGGUACAAUAUAUUGGUUCUUGAGACUCGUUAGUUUUGAGAACUAGACCAAUAUAUCGAACACUAUCAGUUUAUUAUCAUGUAAUGUAGUACAGUUUUGUACGAUGGUUCAAAACUUUCGGGGGUUGUUCGGUUGUGGGAAGGUGUACUUGUACAUGAUAGUAGACUGAUCUAGUUGUUCAGUACCACCAGUUCUCGUGCGAGAUGGUUUCUUCCGUCCCGUCUUGAAACACGGACCAAGGAGACUUACUGCUACGCGAGUCGAAGGGUUCUUGAAACCCUGAGGCGAAGCGAAAGCGAUCUAGGUGCCAACAUUCUCUUAUGAGGAGUUAUGUGCGCAGCACCGGCCUUCAUAUUAUUCACUUCGGGUGGUAAAAUGAUGAGCUAGAGCGUAGCAGUAGGGACCCGAAAGAUGGCGAGCUAUGCCCGAGCAGGAUGAAGCCAGGAGAAAUCCUGGUGGAGGUCCGCAGCGAUUCUGACGUGCAAAUCGAUCGCUAGACUCGGGUAUAGGGGCGAUAGACCAAUCGAGCCAUCUAGUAGCUGGUUCCCUCCGAAAUAUCCCUCAGGAUCGCGGACACCAUAUCGGUUGAUCAGUUUCAUCACGUAGGGAGAAUGAUUGGAGGUUUCGGGGAUUUUGGGGUCCUCGGCAUACUCUCAAACUUCGAAGUGGUGACACAAGUAUGUUUGGGGCGUUAAUUGGGGUAGCAUACUUGGGAAUGAUCGGUGUCCAGUGGGCCAUUUUUGGUAAGCAGAACUGGCGAUCCGGGAUGAACCGAUAGUCGAGUUAAGGUGCCUAAAUGAGAUUUGAAUGAUACCAUUAAAGGUGUCGGUCAAUGUUGACAGCAGGGCGGUGGCCAUGGAAGUCGGCAUCCGCUAAGGAGUGUGUAUUAACUCACCUGCCCAAUUGACCGGUCCUGAAAAUGGAUGGCGCUUAAUAUUUCGACCGAUACUCGGCCGUUUGAAUUGACUACUCAAACGGGUAGGAGGGCACAACGAUAGCUAAGAAGGAUCAACGUGAGUUGAUCUGGAGCUGUCGUUGGAGCUGAUCUUGGUGGUAGUAGCAACUAUUCGGGUGAGAACCUCGAAGUCCGAGGUGGAGAAGGGUUCCAUGUCAAUUGUAGUAAGACAUGGGUUAGUCGGUCCUAAGUGACUCCCGAAGGGGUUCAAAGACAGACAUCGGCUUUAAAUCUGUCGGUCACGAAAGGGAACCAGGUUAAUAUUCCUGGACCAGAUUAAAUGGAAUUUCGGCAGCAAGUCCAAAAGGUCUAACUAAUAAUUAGUCCUUUUGGUUUGUAGAUUAAGGAAACUUAUCUAUAGUUAAAACUUUCUGUCAAUUAGCGGUAACGCAUCCGAACCGGGCGAUGUCGGACGUAGCCAGAGGAAGAGUUUUCUUUUCUUCAUAACGAACUAAUGACCAUGGAAUCGGGUUCGGAG
rnacentral:rRNA from 1 species